GCACAGCUGUAGUUCGAGUCAAUGAAAAGCCACACAACGAGAGUGUAAUCCUCCUGGUAGAGAAAGAACAGGCACGACUUCAGUGUACUAUUGAAGGACAUCCUGCACCAAAGUUGGCCUGGAACUCUCCAACUCGAGUUUUGUUGUCAGAAGAAGGAAAACCUUCACCCCAAGUUUCAAGCAGAGUUUUACAAAACAAUUACACCACUUCCUACGCUCUGAACUCUGUCCAAUGUGAAGACAUUGGUAUAUAUUCUUGUGAAGGCUACAACAGAGCUAGCUCAGUGGAAAAAAAGAUUUUCAUCUUUGUCUUGUGUCCACCAAGUUCUGCAGAUAUCCCUCUCCUGAAGCUGGAACCAAACUAUGUUUGGGAUGUGUCCAAAGUGUUAAAUUUGUCUUUUGUCAUCAAAGCUUACCCAGAGCCUAAUGUCACCCGAGUUGUUUCAAGGGUUGA
rnacentral:sRNA from 1 species